CCUACGGGAGGCAGCAGUGAGGAAUAUUGGUCAAUGGACGAGAGUCUGAACCAGCCAAGUAGCGUGAAGGCUGACUGCCCGAUGGGUUGUAAACUUCUUUUAUCUGGGAAUAAAAUGUUGAACGUGUGGGAUUUUGUAUGUACCAUAUGAAUAAGGAUCGGCAAAAUCAGUGCCAGCAGCAGCGGGAAGACGGCGGAUCCGAGCUUUAUCCGGGUUGAUUGGGUUUAAAGGGAGCGUAGGUGGAUUUUUAGGUCAUUUGUGAAAGUUUGCGGCUCAACCGUAAAAUUGCAGUUGAAACUGGCAGUCUUGAGUACAGUAGAGGUGGGCGGAAUUCGUGGUGUAGCGGUGAAAUGCUUAGCUAUCACGAAGAACUCCGAUUGCGAAGGCAGCUCACUGGACUGCAACUGACACUGAGGCUCGAAAGUGUGGGUAUCAAACAGGAUUAGAUACCCUUGUAGUC
rnacentral:rRNA from 1 species